rnacentral:rRNA from 1 species
GUCGGACCUGCCCAGUGAAGUUUAAACGGCCGCGGUACUCUGACCGUGCAAAGGUAGCAUAAUCAUUUGCCUUAUAAUUGAAGGCUGGAAUGAAUGGUUUGACAAGAAUACACCUGUCUCUUUUAGAUUAUUUAGAAUUUUAUCUUUGGGCGAAAAAGCCCAGAUAUUAUUAAAAGACAAGAAGACCCUAUCGAGCUUCAGAAAAAUUAAUGGAGCAGUCAUGUUUAAUAUUAACUAAAAAAAAAGCUAUUAAAUACAUUGGUUGGGGCAACCGAGGAGUAGACAAAGCCUCCCUUGAAUAAGAAGUCUUACUUGAGAGGAUCCAAGAAUUUUGAUCAAAGGAAUUAGUUACCGUAGGGAUAACAGCAUUAUCUUUUUUGAGAGCCCAUAUCGAAAAAAAGGUUUGUGACCUCGAUGUUGGACCAGAAUAUCCUAAAGAUGCAGAAGUCUUUGAGGGUUGGUCUGUUCGACCAUUAAAAUUC